UUUCCGUAGGUGAGCCUGCGGAAGGAUCAUUAAUAAUAAGUGUUUUAUGGAACUUUUUUAAAUCAAUAUCCACCUUGUGUUCAAUGUCAGGGUUGAGUUUUCUCUCGAGAGGAUCAACCCCAAACAGCAACUAUAUCUCAACUCUUUGUCUGAAAAAUACUAUGAAUAAACCAAUUCAAAAUACAACUUUCAACAACGGAUCUCUUGGCUCUC
rnacentral:misc_RNA from 1 species